rnacentral:rRNA from 1 species
GUGCCUAAUACAUGCAAGUAGAACGCUGAAGACUUUAGCUUGCUAAAGUUGGAAGAGUUGCGAACGGGUGAGUAACGCGUAGGUAACCUGCCUACUAGCGGGGGAUAACUAUUGGAAACGAUAGCUAAUACCGCAUAACAGCAUUUAACACAUGUUAGAUGCUUGAAAGGAGCAAUUGCUUCACUAGUAGAUGGACCUGCGUUGUAUUAGCUAGUUGGUGAGGUAACGGCUCACCAAGGCGACGAUACAUAGCCGACCUGAGAGGGUGAUCGGCCACACUGGGACUGAGACACGGCCCAGACUCCUACGGGAGGCAGCAGUAGGGAAUCUUCGGCAAUGGGGGCAACCCUGACCGAGCAACGCCGCGUGAGUGAAGAAGGUUUUCGGAUCGUAAAGCUCUGUUGUAAGAGAAGAACGUGUGUGAGAGUGGAAAGUUCACACAGUGACGGUAACUUACCAGAAAGGGACGGCUAACUACGUGCCAGCAGCCGCGGUAAUACGUAGGUCCCGAGCGUUGUCCGGAUUUAUUGGGCGUAAAGCGAGCGCAGGCGGUUUAAUAAGUCUGAAGUUAAAGGCAGUGGCUUAACCAUUGUUCGCUUUGGAAACUGUUAGACUUGAGUGCAGAAGGGGAGAGUGGAAUUCCAUGUGUAGCGGUGAAAUGCGUAGAUAUAUGGAGGAACACCGG